AAGGCAGGCAACUGCUUGAGGCCACAGGUCAGUGAGGAACCCAUGUGGUCUGGCAAACUGCAGCAGUGGCAAGUUUUAGUUACAGUAGGAGAGACCCUACCACCCUCGGGGGGCCCCACAUGACUCUGGUCACUCCAGAUGCCAGUUGCGUGCAUGAUUCAGUUUAAACAAACCCAAUAACAACAAGCUAUUCAGAGAAACUAAAGAGCAGUUAUUAUUCUGGGAAUGAAAAGGAAAGAAGAAAACAAGGAAGAGGAGAAAAAAGCAAGAUAGUGCGCUAGGACUUCUCUGAUCUUUGUUGUGUCUCUUGGAGUGGACCCCAUGGGCGCGCUGAUGGAACUGGCUGAGGCCUUUUGACACGAGCAAGCACUUGAGUCUUUCCUCUGUAGGCCAGUGCCAGGCCUCAGUUGCCAGGAACAUGAUAGAAGAGGGCGUCAAGAACAGUACAGCACCAUCAUCUUUGCUCCAUCUUCCUGCCUGCCUCUCUGUGAUUUGUUCUGGUGUUUAAUAGAAUUUUUUUUUCCUUUCACAAGUGUGUUUUUUUUCUUUUUGGCUCAAGUGUCAUCUGUGAAUAUUUGAUUGAUUUGGUUUGUUCAGAUGAAUCUUUCACUCCCAGUAUCGACCCACUGUUUCCCAGCUCUCUCGUGCUCAUCAGCAUGAUUUGCAGCUAUUUAUUAUACCAGUGGAGACUUGACUGUCACUUUCUGGGGUUUGUUGCUUAUCAGACACGCCUUUCUGUAACUGGGGAAAUGUCACUGUCAUACAUCAA